rnacentral:rRNA from 1 species
GACGAACGCUGGCGGCGUGCUUAACACAUGCAAGUCGAACGGGAAGACAUGAAGAGCUUGCUCUUUAUGAAAUCCAGUGGCAAACGGGUGAGUAACACGUAAACAACCUGCCUUCAGGAUGGGGACAACAGACGGAAACGACUGCUAAUACCGAAUACGAUUCUUGAGUCGCAUGACACAAGAAAGAAAGGGUGGCCUCUACUUGUAAGCUAUCGCCUGAAGAGGGGUUUGCGUCCGAUUAGGUAGUUGGUGAGGUAACGGCCCACCAAGCCGACGAUCGGUAGCCGGUCUGAGAGGAUGAACGGCCACAUUGGAACUGGGACACGGUCCAGACUCCUACGGGAGGCAGCAGUGGGGAAUCUUCCGCAAUGGGCGAAAGCCUGACGGAGCAACGCCGCGUGAGUGAAGACGGCCUUCGGGUUGUAAAACUCUGUGAUUCGGGACGAAAGAUAAGUAGACGAAUAAUCUGCAUAAGUGACGGUACCGAAAAAGCAAGCCACGGCUAACUACGUGCCAGCAGCCGCGGUAAUACGUAGGUGGCAAGCGUUGUCCGGAAUUAUUGGGCGUAAAGCGCGCGCAGGCGGCUACUUAAGUCCAUCUUAAAAGUGCGGGGCUUAACCCCGUGAUGGGAUGGAAACUGAGAAGCUGGAGUGUCGGAGAGGAAAGUGGAAUUCCUAGUGUAGCGGUGAAAUGCGUAGAGAUUAGGAAGAACACCGGUGGCGAAGGCGACUUUCUGGACGACAACUGACGCUUAGGCGCGAAAGCGUGGGGAGCAAACAGG